AUGAGAAAAAAAUGGUGGAAAGAGAAACCCGGGCAGAAGCAGCAGGAGCAGCAGAUGGUCCUGCUCCAGCCUCCCGAGGACUGCGAAGGGGCAAAGCACGGACGGAGCCCCCGCAUCUCCUGGAGGUCCUCACCCAGAGGAGGGGGAGAGGAACGGCAGCCAGGGGAAGACGGGAGGGACCCCUGCUGGACCUGUGAUUCCAGAGGACACUUCCCCUGGGCCUCCGCUCCUAGCCAGACCCACCCUCCCAUUUCAUUGAAAGUAGCUACACACAACUUCUCCCCUUCUUUCCACCGUGGCCACUCCACAUCAGCUAACCCUUGGUGCAAAAAUUCACAUUUGUUUGGGACCCUCUAUCAGUCAUCCUUUCAGAGGAUUUGUGAUAGAUCUGUCUUCUGGAAUAUGAGUGUGUGUUCUAUUUGUGUGAUUGGUAUUUUCACUGCCUUUUUUUUUUUUCUUUUCUUUUCUUUUCUUUUUUUAGGGCCGCACCUGCAGCAUAUGGAGGUUCCCAGGCUAGGGGCAAAUCGGAGAUGUAGCUGCCAGCCUACACCACAGCCACUGUAACACAGGACCCAAGCCACGUCUGCAAUCUCUACCACGGCUCACAGCAAUUCUGGAUCCUUAACCCACUGAGCAAGGCCAGGGAUUGAACCCACAACCUCAUGGUUCCUAAUUAGAACUGCACCAUGAUGGGACCUCCUCGNCUGUAACACAGGACCCAAGCCACGUCUGCAAUCUCUACCAUGGCUCACAGCAAUUCUGGAUCCUUAACCCACUGAUCAAGGCCAGGGAUUGAACCCACAACCUCAUGGUUACUAGUUGGAACCGCACCACGAUGGGACCUCCUCACUGCCUUUUAUAAAAUAGGAAUUCAGGUUCAAUUCACUAGAAAAAUUUUACCAUGAAACUAUGACUAAAAAACAAGAAAGAUGGAGUUUCCAUCAUGGCUCAGUGGAAAGGAAUCUGACGAGCAUCCAUGAGGAUGCAGGUUCGAUCCCUGGCCUCACUCAGUGGGUUAAGGACCCAACAUUGCUGUGAGCUGUGCUGUAGGUCAUAGACGUGGCUCAGAUCCCACAUUGCUGUGGCUGUGGCGUACGCCAGCAGCUACAGCUUCGUAGCCUGGGAACCUCCAUAUGCCAUGGGUGCGGCUCUAAAAAGGCAAAAAAAAAAAAAAAAAAAAAGUUGUUUUUUUUUUUUUCUUUAACCUGUGUGGCCAACAACAAUACUCUUAAGACUCUGGAGACAAUUGGUUAAGAUGCAACUCUUUCAAAAUUCCAAAAGUGGAUCUUUCUUUCAUAUGCACUUAGAAAAAAAAAGCUGGUUUGAUAAAAUGCUUUUUUCAAAAUUCUGAUCCUGAGAGAACAAAAAUAUGCCUAGGAGAAGGCUUGAAAUUAACUCUUAUCAUGUCCUUGAAAUACAAACACAGCCCACUUUGCCUGACUUCAGCCGUGGGUUAAUACCAGAACUUCAAGCCAAGGGGAGGGGGUAGGAAGGAGGAAAGAGUCUUUCUACACUGAAGUCUGUAAACUUAACUUAUUCCAACUGUUCCUUAUAGAACAGUAAGUUUCAUACUGAAAUAUUUGACUCAUGAGUAGGUUUUAAAUGAAGCUAUGAGAUCUCGAUGUAUAUACGUCUAGGUGUGAUAUUGUCUACAAAGGGAUAAAAGCUUUUGGGUAAAUGCUCUGGAAAUAAUUAUAUGAUUUAACAAACCAUUCAAUUACUUGUUUCUUGGUUUCANUUUUUUUUUUUUUUUUUUUUUGCUUUUUAGAGCCGUACCCAUGGCAUAUGGAAGUACUCAGGCUGGGGUUGAAUCAGAACUGCCGCUGCUGGCCUACGCCACAGCUGGAUAUACAAUGCAGGAUCCAAGCCAAGUCUGCUGAGCAAGGCCAAGGAUCGAACCCACAUCCUCAUGUAUACUAGUCGGAUUCGUUUCCACAUCACAAUGGGAACUAUGUCGUUCAGCCUUUUGAAGGUUAAACAUUAUAAUAUGUAUUUAAAACUACUAGAAAAGAUAAAGCAUUUAUUUGUAAAACAAGUAGGAUAUGUAUUGUCGGGGAGAGAAGGUAUAAAGAAUGGAAAUAUUUUUUUGAGGGAUAAAAGGAGUUUAAUUUCAUCCUAGAGCUGGUUGUUUCUAGAUGGGUAAAAAAAAAAAUAGUAUUAACUAAUAUAGAUACAGAAGUGAUUUUUUUUAAGGUUUUUUAAAAAAGGAACCUUGAGAAAAGAACGUUGUACGUUGUUAAGACUGAUGAAGAUUAGAUUGGAUUAAAUUAGGUAAACGAAUGUUUUUUUUUUCUAGGGCUGCACCCGCAGCAUGUGGAAGUUCCCAGGCUAGGGGUCGAAUUGGAGUUACAACUGCCGGCCUACACCACAGCCACAGGAACGCAGGAUCCGAGCCAUGUCUGCGACCUACACCACAGCUCAGAGCAACACUGGAUCCCCCACCCACUGAGCAAGCCCAGGGAUUGCACAUCCUCACAGAUACUAGUCGGAUUCAUUUCUGCUGCACCACGAUAGGAACUCUGAAUUUUAUUAUUAAUAUUAAGCCAAUACAAGACUGGGAUUUAGUUUUCUCUCUGUGUUAAGAGAACAACCUUUUCUGGAAGAGAGACCUGCAUUUGAUAGCAAAUGGUAAGUUUCUCGCUCUAGCUAAUUUCGAGCUUUCCACAGAGCCCCCGAGGCAUCUCAAAGAGAAAAACUGGUAGGACAUUUAAAGAGUUCUAAUGGAAAGUUAUUGUUUUGCUCCUAAUCGGUUUUUUUUGUUUGUUUGUUUUGGUUUUUGCCUUUUCUUGAGCCACUUCCACCGCCUAUGGAGUUUCCCAGGCUAGGAGUCUAAUUGGAGCUGUAGCCACCAGCCUACAACAGGGUCACAGCAACUCGGGAUCCGAGCCGAGUCUGCGACCCACACCACAGCUCACGACAACGCUGGAUCCUUAACCCACUGAGCAAGGCCAGGGAUCGAACCUGCAACCUCAUGGUUCCUAGUCGGAUUCGUUAACCACUGCGCCACGACAGGUACUCCUCCUAACCGUAUUUUUGACUGCAAUGUUCAGGAUGGAAAAAACUGCCUAGUGACGUUGUCACGGAGUAUAAGUACUCAUGAUGUGCAUCACGCUGGCUUUACGUUUACCCUUUGAAGCCCACGUUCCACGGUUGUGUGACAAUUGGGUAUAAUAGAUAAAAUACAUAGCCUAUAAAAUAUUUCUCUGUUAGCACCUCUGUGCUUCUUUAUGUCUGAUUAGUUUUCCCCCAGCAUGGACAACUACGCCCGUGUAUAAACAAAAAGUAGGCUUAGCACUGAGGGACGGGAAUGAUUCGUUUCUCGCGUCUGCGUUCUACUCGCCUGGAACAGAAGAGGCACAAACUGAGAACUGCCUUCAGAUCUCAAACGCUUAACACUGUGCUCUACUGCCCUCUAGUGGAAGAUCUGGUACUUAACAUAAUCAUUGAGUCUCCACUGAUUGGGCGGAAGGAGAGGUGUGAAAACGGCCACCAGGGCACCAGCUACCGUGUGGAAGAACAUCAGGAUGCGGAAAGGGGGAUCCGGAUGCGGAAAAGGGGUGUCUGGAGUACCUAGAAGAGGAGGAAUCCUGAUCGUUCCCUCUACCGCCUAGCUCAGGACUCUGACCACCUCUUUCGUAAGAACUGAAAGUUGAUAUCCGUCGAGUCGACGGAAUAACCAGUUUCUCACCUAAAUUUCUGGUUACAUCAGCUGCCUUGUAAACAUAUUGAUCGAAUACCCACAGAGUGCGGGGCAGGGUUCUGUCUCUCCUGAUCAGGACAAACAAGAUCUUUGCUCUCAGAGAUUUGCGUUCCAACGGAAGAAGGAGGGAAGGGGGGUGGGGAAGGAGAAAAUGAGCACAAGUAAGAAAUAAAUUAAUACUGCUGUACCCCUGGCA
rnacentral:lncRNA from 1 species